rnacentral:rRNA from 1 species
CCCUCUGUCCCUAUCUACUAUCUAGCGAAACCACUGCCAAGGGAACGGGCUUGGAAAAAUCAGCGGGGAAAGAAGACCCUGUUGAGCUUGACUCUAGUCUGGCACUGUAAGGAGACAUGAGAGGUGUAGCAUAAGUGGGAGACGGUAUCCAUCCCGUCGCCGGUGAAAUACCACUACUUUCAUCGUUUCUUUACUUACUUGGUUAGGCGGAGGGCGUACGUCGAGGGCAUUCGCCCCGGCGUUACGGUCUUCUCGCGCCAAGCGUUCAAGGGUUGCCGGCGGACAGAGGUGCGGGUCGCUCGUCGGUGAGUCGUGUAACCUGGCUUGCCAGGCCACGGCCCGGCUGUGGCUGCGGCACUCUCUGCCACCGACCGGCAAACACUCCCUAGCGUGAUCCGAUCCGAGGACACUGCCAGGCGGGGAGUUUGACUGGGGCGGUACAUCUGUCAAAGAAUAACGCAGGUGUCCUAAGGCCAGCUCAGUGAGGACAGAAACCUCGCGUAGAGCAAAAGGGCAAAUGCUGGCUUGAUCCCGAUGUUCAGUAUGCAUAGGGACUGCGAAAGCACGGCCUAUCGAUCCUUUUGGCUUGAAGAGUUUUCAGCAAGAGGUGUCAGAAAAGUUACCACAGGGAUAA